rnacentral:misc_RNA from 1 species
UUAAGACAAAUACAAAUAAAUGUGAUGCAAAGUGUAUGACAGCAUGCAACCUUAAUCAAACUUUUAACCUGACAAAGUGUCUCACAACUUGUAAAAAUUAUAAUUUGUGUGAACUUGAUUGUUUAUUCUGCAGUUAUAUUAAAGAAAAUGACACUGGUUGUUGACCAACGGUUUAUAAUCGAAAUUUAAUAUGGCUGGCGGUAAAGGUAAAGAGAAGUUUAAAGGAACAAACAUUAGAGAGCGUUUUGUCAAUUAAAGUGACUGCU